rnacentral:sRNA from 1 species
AGGCUGUCGUCAGCUCGUGUCGUGAGAUGUUGGGUUAAGUCCCGCAACGAGCGCAACCCCUACUUUUAGUUGCCACCAUUUAGUUGGGCACUUUAAAAGAACUGCCAGUGAUAAGCUGGAGGAAGGUGGGGAUGACGUCAAGUCCUCAUGGCCCUUACGUGUUGGGCUACACACGUGCUACAAUGGCACUUACAAUGAGAAGCUAAGAGGCAACUCCAAGCAAAUCUCAAAAAGGUGCCUCAGUUCGGAUUGUACUCUGCAACUCGAGUACAUGAAGCUGGAAUUGCUAGUAAUCGCGGAUCAGCGCGCCGCGGUGAAUACGUUCCCGGGUCUUGUACACACCGCCCGUCACACCAUGGAAGUUGGUUACACCUUAAGGCAAAGCAUAAAACCUUUGACUACGGUACGAUCAGCGACUGGGGUGAAGUCGUAACAAGGUAGCCGUAGGGGAACCUGCGGCUGGAUCACCUCCUUUCUAAAGGAAAUCGAAAUUAUUGUUUUCGAUUUAAAAAAAACCGGUAAUGUGACCGUCCGCAUUUCUCUUCUUUUAAUGUCUCUGAGUACAAAUGUAACGUAAGGGGCCGGUAGCUCAGGUGGUUAGAGCGCACCCCUGAUAAGGGUGAGGUCGGAAGUUCGAGUCUUCCUCGGCCCACCAAUAUUAUGGGGGAUUAGCUCAGCUGGGAGAGCGCCUGAUUUGCAUUCAGGAGGUCAGCGGUUCGAUCCCGCUAUCCUCCACCAACAUUUUGAGACGUUUAGCUUUUUUAAAUUGUGAAUAUUAUUAUCAAUAUCUAUAUCCGAUUGUUUUCAGAUAUUUUAUGAAAACAAUCACAACAAAAAUUUGAAUUUUACACAGAAAGUUUUUUUCUGUGCAUAAAUCAAGCGUUUAAGGGCGUUUGGCGGAUGCCUUGGCACUGAAAGACGAUGAAGGACGUGGUAUACUGCGAUAAGUUUCGGGGAGCUGUAUGCAAGCUUUGAUCCGAAAAUUUCCGAAUGGGGAAACCCGG